GACGAACGCUGGCGGCGUGCCUAACACAUGCAAGUCGAACGGAGAUACGAUUUCGGUUGUAUCUUAGUGGCGAACGGGUGAGUAACGCGUGAGCAACCUGACUCUUAGAGGGGGAUAACACUGGGCAACGAGUGCUAAUACCGCAUAAGACCACGACAUGGCAUCAUGACGAGGUCAAAGGAGCAAUCCGCUGAGGGAGGGGCUCGCGUCCCAUUAGAUAGAUGGCGGGGUAACGGCCCACCAUGUCAAAGAUGGGUAGCCGAGCUGGGAGGCUGGUCGGCCACACUGGAACUGAGACACGGUCCAGACGCGUACGGGAGGGAGCAGUGGGGAAUAUGGGGAGAUGGGCGCAAGCCUGACCCAGCAACGCCGCGUGAGGGAAGAAGGCUUUCGGGUUGUAAACCUCUGUCCUUGGUGACGAAAAAAAUGACGGUAGCCAAGGAGGAAGCCCUGGCUAACUACGUGCCAGCCGCCGCGGUAA
rnacentral:rRNA from 1 species